rnacentral:rRNA from 1 species
CCCUUAGAUGUCCUGGGCUGCACGCGCGCUACACUGAUGUGUCCAGUAAGCACCUAACCUCUUCCGAAAGGAACGGGUAACUUUUGCAAAGCACAUCGUGAUGGGGAUAGAUUAUUGCAAUUAUUAGUCUUGAACGAGGAAUUCCUAGUAAGCACAAGUCAUCAGCUUGUGUUGAUUACGUCCCUGCCCUUUGUACACACCGCCCGUCGCUCCUACCGAUUGAAUGUUCCGGUGAGCUCUUCGGACUGCGCGGUCUGCAGUUUCUGCGUUCCGUGCGGAAAGUUGCGCAAACCUUAACAUUUAGAGGAAGGAGAAGUCGUAACA